UCCCAAGUGGCUCAGUGGUAAAAGAAUCUGCCUGCAAUGCAGGAGACGUGGGUUCCAUCCCUGAGUUGGGAA
rnacentral:tRNA from 1 species